rnacentral:snRNA from 1 species
AUGCUCAUUCUAGCACAACAUCUAUGCUAAAAUUGGAACACUACAGAGAAGAUUAGCAUGUCCCCUGCAUCAAAGUCGGGAUGUUAUUUGAGGGACAGUGUU